rnacentral:rRNA from 1 species
AGAGUUUGAUCAUGGCUCAGAUUGAACGCUGGCGGCAGGCCUAACACAUGCAAGUCGAGCGGUAACAGGGGUAGCUUGCUACCCGCUGACGAGCGGCGGACGGGUGAGUAAUGCAUAGGAAUCUGCCCGAUAGUGGGGGAUAAUCUGGGGAAACCCAGGCUAAUACCGCAUACGUCCUACGGGAGAAAGGGGGCUUCGGCUCCCGCUAUCGGAUGAGCCUAUGUCGGAUUAGCUAGUUGGUGAGGUAACGGCUCACCAAGGCCACGAUCCGUAGCUGGUCUGAGAGGAUGAUCAGCCACAUCGGGACUGAGACACGGCCCGAACUCCUACGGGAGGCAGCAGUGGGGAAUAUUGGACAAUGGGCGAAAGCCUGAUCCAGCCAUGCCGCGUGUGUGAAGAAGGCCCUCGGGUUGUAAAGCACUUUCAGCGAGGAAGAACGCCUAGCGGUUAAUACCCGCUAGGAAAGACAUCACUCGCAGAAGAAGCACCGGCUAACUCCGUGCCAGCAGCCGCGGUAAUACGGAGGGUGCAAGCGUUAAUCGGAAUUACUGGGCGUAAAGCGCGCGUAGGUGGCUUGAUAAGCCGGUUGUGAAAGCCCCGGGCUCAACCUGGGAACGGCAUCCGGAACUGUCAAGCUAGAGUGCAGGAGAGGAAGGUAGAAUUCCCGGUGUAGCGGUGAAAUGCGUAGAGAUCGGGAGGAAUACCAGUGGCGAAGGCGGCCUUCUGGACUGACACUGACACUGAGGUGCGAAAGCGUGGGUAGCAAACAGGAUUAGAUACCCUGGUAGUCCACGCCGUAAACGAUGUCGACCAGCCGUUGGGUGCCUAGCGCACUUUGUGGCGAAGUUAACGCGAUAAGUCGACCGCCUGGGGAGUACGGCCGCAAGGUUAAAACUCAAAUGAAUUGACGGGGGCCCGCACAAGCGGUGGAGCAUGUGGGUUUAAUUCGAUGCAAAGCGAAGAACCUUACCUACUCUUGACAUCCUGCGAAUUUGGGUAGAGAUACCUUUAGUGCCUUCGGGGAACGCAGAGACAGUUGCUGCAUGGCUGUCGUCAGCUCGGUGUUGGUGAAAUGUUGGGGUUAAGUCCCGGUAAACGGAGCGGCCAAUCU